UAUGUGUAUGUAUGAUGUGUGUGUGCAUACACAAUAUACAUAUACAUACACACACACACACACACACACACACACACACACACACACAU
rnacentral:miRNA from 14 species